rnacentral:lncRNA from 1 species
UUCUAGCUUGCCACAUGGUUGAGUAUUCCAUCCGUGUCAGCCGUCUUUGGCUGAACUGAUAAAAAAGUGGACCUUGUAACAAAAAUACUGUCUCCUCCAACUUUAACAAAAGCACUCUGAGCUGAACCUUAUAUGUUGGCAUCAUGAUUCUUGAUACUUAACAAUAUAGUUGUCCCUCAGUAUCCAUAGUUCCAGGACCCUCUCUGAUGGUACAUUCUGUGCAGGCUGCAGGCCUUCAGUGGUGUUUGCUUAUAGCCUCUGCCUCCCCCUGUGAACUUCAAACCACAGCAACUUCAAGCUCACAGCAACUGCGUCGGGACAGGUGGUAACAGCUGGUUCCCUGUGCUCCGGAGCCUGCGUGUUUAGAAGAGAUCAGUUGUUCCUCUAUUUCCAGUCCUUGGUUAGUUAAACCCAAGGAUGCAAGAGGACAUCCCCUGAGCAUCCUGUCCAGAGCCCUUCAGGAACGAAUGUCAAGGGCUGUCAAGGCAUAGUCGAUUAUUGGAGGCAUGGAAAACGGGAAGGAUGAAGCAGUAAGCUUAUGAUGGAGAGGGGUAGAGAAUGGAAAGGAUGAAGCAGUAAGCUUACAGUGGAAAGGAAUCUAAGCUACUUGUUUCCACCCAGGGUUAAAAAUGCAUUUGCCUUCUGGACCAUGACAGAACUGCCUGGUGAGUCGCACUGGGCAGUGUGGUCAUUCCCAACUCGUGAACACAGACAUCCACUUCUACUUACGGUAACAGUCCCCCUCCUCCAUGUAACUCUGCCUCCCUUUUCUGUUGUUUUGUUCCAUAAAACAAAAAUCUUAACAUAGCACAUGCUAUGGUGGGUGUUUCGUUCAAAGUUAAAAUUUCAAAGCUCUUCUAGACAUUGUUUUAAACAGUCCUUGUUACCUAGUGCAGCAAUCUGUAACCCCGGGCUUCCCGUGUCUGUCAGCUCGAGUCGGCUGUUCACUGUGACACCCAUGGCUGGGCUUCUGUUGCCUCACUCCCUCCUCUGCUGACAGGCUCACACGUUGCCAGAGGUGGAAGGCUUCCCGCACAUCCAUCCGUUGUUUGGUUUUCUGAUACUUUUUUUUUUUUUUACACAUUUUUAGAAUCUGACUUUGUUUCCCAGCAGCAUUUUGCUACCUUUGAUGUUGUUGUUGUUGUUCAAAAUUAUAGAUACUGAUGAGCUCCCAGGUAGCUUUUAAAAGCUAGGUCUGCACUGUGGUUCCCGGCUGCUUACAUAGAGCCUUGAUAAGAAAUGAUCCUUGAUUCGGGCAGUGGUGGCACAUGCCUUUAAUCCCAGCACUUGGGAGGCAGAGGCAGGUGGAUUUCUGAGUUCGAGGCCAGCCUGGUCUACAGAGUUCAAGAACAGCCAGGGCUACACAGAGAAACCCUGUCUCAAGAGAAAAAAAAAGAAAAAAGAAAAAAAAGAAACUAUCCUUGCUUAAGCACCUCUCUUGGUGUUCUUAGAACUAUAUGAGGUGAUAGCCUCCUUAAUAGUAGCCAUCAAGGCAAACCUGGUAGCCCACAGCCCUAACUAAUCCCAGCUCUAGGGAGACAGAGGCAGGUGGAUCUCUGUGACUUUAAGGCUAGCCUGCUCUAUAUAGUGAGUUCCAAGUUAGCCAGGGCUAUGUAGUAAUACCUGUCUUAAAAACAAAUGUGGUGGCCAUCAGCCCUGUCCUCAGUAGUCCUGACUCCCUUUGGUGAGUGCUCACUGGACUGUAGGCCCACAGCUGUUUGGGAGCCCUGUGGUGUAAUCCCCAGUUGACAGGGGACGGGAAAUGCUCUCGUCCAGCCCUCACCAGGUCUGCGUUGUUGAGAUGCAGGGACUUCGUGAGGAGGGAGGCUCUGUUCCAGGCUUCAUUUGCUUCUCCGGUGGAUUUGCUGUCACACUGCCUUGGAGAACCCGUUGAGGGAAAUUCUCCAUUAGUUUUGCUUGACUUUAAAAUGUCUCCUCAAAAGGAUUUUAAGAAAAAGAUGACAGUGCAGCCAGGCUUUGGCAAAAAUUGUCACUUUCCUUGGUUAUGUUGUCCUCAUUCUGAUGCUAUUUCCUGUGUGAUUCUGAGCUACGGCACACAGUUGUCCAUCUUUUUCAGCAGGACUUGGUAGUCUGUACCAUUGGGCUGUUGGAGUAUUAUUUAUUUCUGUUGUUUUAAUUUAUGGCUCCAUAAGCCAAGAUUUGGUAAAAGGGAGAGAAAACUGAAAUAUAUUUACUCAUAAUGGGGGAGGGGGAUUAUUUAGUAUCUUCCUCAGCUUCCUGGGCAAAGUAAAAAUGUCAGUGCAUGGUCAGAGGGCGCUUGUUGCCAGCCACGCACCAGUGCACAGUGAGGUGUUCUUUAUGCAGAACAGUUGGCUAACGCAGGUUUGCUCUGAGUCGCUGCUUCUACCUGGCUCCAGUAACGCACGUUCUUGUGUCAUCAAUGUGAUGUUCUUGGCUGCUCCUUCCUAAUGCUGUGACGUCUCCUUAACCAAAGAAGCUGCGGGGAAAAGCUGUUGUCCUUUGGAAAUACCAGUUAGUUGAAAAUGGCAAGCAUGUGGUGUCUGGGGCAUCCAAACAAAGGGUCAGCCCCUGUAUUUUUAUUCCUUUUAACUCACAGGUUGGAAGAGGUAAAUUGUUCUUUUGAUAACCCAGGAAUUUAUUAUUAUUUCUUAAGCAAGUUUAAUUAUACUUUGAAUUGGGUCACCACAGUGGUGUCCCCGUUGCUGCCUCUGCUUUGAAUGUCCGUGCACAGCCCUUUCUAACGUCCAGGAGACCGGUUAUUUUUCAGCGUUGUAUCCUCUGAAUAAAGACUGGCAAAAUAUUGAACC